rnacentral:rRNA from 1 species
CUCAACCCCGGAAUGGCUUUGGAUACUGCCUGGCUUGAGUACGUCAGAGGUGAGCGGAAUUCCAGGUGUAGCGGUGAAAUGCGUAGAUAUCUGGAGGAACAUCCGUGGCGAAAGCGGCUCACUGGGACGACACUGACGCUGAGGCUCGAAAGCGUGGGGAGCGAACGGGAUUAGAUACCCCGGUAGUCCACGCCGUAAACGUUGUGCACUAGGUGUGGGAGGUGUCGACCCCUUCCGCGCCGAAGCUAACGCAUUAAGUGCACCGCCUGGGGAGUACGGUCGCAAGACUGAAACUCAAAGGAAUUGACGGGGGCCCGCACAAGCGGUGGAGCAUGUGGUUUAAUUCGAGGCAACGCGAAGAACCUUACCCAGACUUGACAUCCCGCGACAACCCUGGAAACAGGGCCUUCCCUUCGGGGACGC